rnacentral:rRNA from 1 species
CAGCUCUCCGAGUGGUAGGGGUGAUUAUUGGGCUUAAAGCGUCCGUAGCCGGCUUAGCAAGUUUCCUGUUAAACCCAGCGACUCAAUCGUUGGAUCGCGGGAAAUACUACUAGGCUAGGAGGCGGGAGAGGUCAACGGUACUUCUGGGGUAGGGGUGAAAUCCUAUAAUCCCGGGAGGACCACCAGUGGCGAAGGCUGUUGACUAGAACGCGCUCGACGGUGAGGGACGAAAGCUGGGGGAGCGAACCGGAUUAGAUACCCGAGUAGUCC